rnacentral:rRNA from 1 species
GACGAACGCUGGCGGCGUGCUUAACACAUGCAAGUCGCACGGGACCCGCAAGGGUUCAGUGGCGAACGGGUGCGUAACACGUGAGGAACCUGCCCAUCGGUGGGGGAUAGCCGGCCCAACGGCCGGGUAAUACCGCGUACGACCCUCGGGGGGCAUCUCCCGGGGGGGAAAGCAGCAAUGCGCCGAUGGAGGGCCUCGCAGCCUAUCAGCUAGUUGGUGAGGUAACGGUUCACCAAGGCGACGACGGGUAGCUGGUCUGAGAGGAUGGCCAGCCACAUUGGGACUGAGACACGGCCCAGACUCCUACGGGAGGCAGCAGUGGGGAAUCUUGCGCAAUGGGCGAAAGCCUGACGCAGCGACGCCGCGUGCGGGAUGACGGCCUUCGGGUUGUAAACCGCUGUCGGGAGGGACGAAGCUCUGACGGUACCUCCAAAGGAAGCACCGGCUAACUCUGUGCCAGCCGCCGCAGUAACAC